rnacentral:rRNA from 1 species
AUUGAACGCUGGCGGCAUGCCUUACACAUGCAAGUCGAACGGUAACAGGUCUUCGGAUGCUGACGAGUGGCGAACGGGUGAGUAAUACAUCGGAACGUGCCUAGUAGUGGGGGAUAACUACUCGAAAGAGUGGCUAAUACCGCAUGAGAUCUACGGAUGAAAGCAGGGGAUCGCAAGACCUUGUGCUACUAGAGCGGCCGAUGGCAGAUUAGGUAGUUGGUGGGAUAAAAGCUUACCAAGCCGACGAUCUGUAGCUGGUCUGAGAGGACGAUCAGCCACACUGGGACUGAGACACGGCCCAGACUCCUACGGGAGGCAGCAGUGGGGAAUGUUGGACAAUGGGCGCAAGCCUGAUCCAGCAAUGCCGCGUGCAGGAUGAAGGCCUUCGGGUUGUAAACUGCUUUUGUACGGAACGAAAAGCUCUGGGUUAAUACCCUGGGGUCAUGACGGUACCGUAAGAAUAAGCACCGGCUAACUACGUGCCAGCCGCCGCAGUAA